rnacentral:rRNA from 1 species
UGGGGAAUCUUGGACAAUGGGCGCAAGCCUGAUCCAGCCAUGCCGCGUGAGUGACGAAGGCCUUAGGGUUGUAAAGCUCUUUUUGGCGGGGACGAUAAUGACGGUACCCGCAGAAUAAGCCCCGGCUAACUUCGUGCCAGCAGCCGCGGUAAUACGAAGGGGGCUAGCGUUGUUCGGAAUUACUGGGCGUAAAGCGCGUGUAGGCGGGUCGUUAAGUUGGGGGUGAAAUCCCGAGGCUCAACCUCGGAACUGCCUUCAAAACUGGCGACCUGGACUCAAGCAGAGGCAAGUGGAAUUGCGAGUGUAGAGGUGAAAUUCGUAGAUAUUCGCAGGAACACCAGUGGCGAAGGCGACUUGCUGGGCCUGUAGUGACGCUGAGACGCGAAAGCGUGGGGAGCAAACAGGAUUAGAUACCCUAGUAGUCCCUGAGCGGGCUGGCAAGGCGCAU